GAUGAACGCUAGCUACAGGCUUAACACAUGCAAGUCGAGGGGAAACGACAUUGAGGCUUGCUUCGAUGGUCGUCGACCGGCGCACGGGUGAGUAACGCGUAUCCAACCUGCCUCUGACCAAGGGAUAACCCGUCGAAAGUCGGCCUAAUACCUUAUGCAGUCGUCGGAAGUCAUCUGAUGACGACGAAAGAUUUCAUCGGUGAGAGAUGGGGAUGCGUCUGAUUAGCUUGUUGGCGGGGUAACGGCCCACCAAGGCAACGAUCAGUAGGGGUUCUGAGAGGAAGGUCCCCCACAUUGGAACUGAGACACGGGCCAAACUCCUACGGGAGGCAGCAGUGAGGAAUAUUGGUCAAUGGGCGAGAGCCUGAACCAGCCAAGUAGCGUGCAGGAUGACGGCCCUAUGGGUUGUAAACUGCUUUUAUGCGGGGAUAAAGUGAGGGACGUGUCCUUCAUUGCAGGUACCGCAUGAAUAAGGGCCGGCUAAUUCCGUG
rnacentral:rRNA from 1 species